rnacentral:lncRNA from 1 species
GAACCCUUCCAUAUACCCUGCGCCUAAAGUUUUGCAGCUAUUACAUAGGAAUAAAGAUCAAGAGUAAUACAUAGUUAUAUAAGUUUAAGUUAUGUUGGUUCUAUUGUACUAGUUUUGUGAGAUCUCAGUAACUGCAAAGCCAGUUCCUGAGUUAGUAGUGGCGAGUUUAUAUUUAUUUUGUUUAUUGAGAGAGUAUGUUGAUGUUAUAUCAGUGCGAUGUAUUAGAGAAUCCUUCGGGUUUUCCUGUGCUAUUAG